UACAGAGGGUACAAGCGUUGUUCGGAAUUACUGGGCGUAAAGCGCAUGUAGGCUGUUGUGUAAGUUUGGUGUAAAAGUUUGGGGCUCAGCCCUAAAAAGCCAUCAAAUACUGCAUAACUAGAGAUCGGGAGAGGUAAGUGGAAUUCCUAGUGGUAAAGGUAAAAUUUGUCGAUAUUAGGAGGAACACCAGAGACGAAAGUGAUUUACUGGAACGAAUCUGACGCUGAGAUGCUAAAGCGUGGGUAGCAAACAGG
rnacentral:rRNA from 1 species